GUAUCAAGUGCUACGCCCGGACGAACUUCCCAGCUCGGCCGACAUACACGGGUCGGUGGGAUCUUCGUCCGUUUGUAUCGCUUAUAC
rnacentral:pre_miRNA from 1 species